rnacentral:rRNA from 1 species
GAACUAGGCAAAAUGGUACCGUAACUUCGGGAGAAGGUACGCUCUCGACGGUGAAGUCCCUCGCGGAUGGAGCUAUUGAGAGUCGCAGAUACUAGGUGGCUGCAACUGUUUAUUAAAAACACAGCACUGUGCAAAAUGCCCCGGUAAACGGCGGCCGUAACUAUAACGGUCCUAAGGUAGCGAAAUUCCUUGUCGGGUAAGUUCCGACCUGCACGAAUGGCGUAAUGAUGGCCACGCUGUCUCCACCCGAGACUCAGUGAAAUUGAAAUCGCUGUGAAGAUGCAGUGUACCCGCGGCUAGACGGAAAGACCCCGUGA